GGUGGUAUAGCUCCAUGGUGGAGCGCAUGCCUGGCAUGCAUGAGGCUCUGGGUUCAAUCCCCAGUACCUCCA
rfam:Camelus ferus unplaced genomic scaffold scaffold8016, whole genome shotgun sequence.